GAACCAGUGGGGCGUAGUGGCUUGAGUGUUGGACUAUGGCUCUGGAAGUCAGGGUUCGAAUCCCAGCUCGGUCA